rnacentral:rRNA from 1 species
UACAGAGGGGGGCAAGCGUUGUUCGGAAUUACUGGGCGUAAAGGGCGCGUAGGCGGCCUUCUAAGUCAGACGUGAAAUCCCUCGGCUCAACCGGGGAACUGCGUCUGAGACUGAAAGGCUUGAAUCCGGGAGAGGGAUGUGGAAUUCCAGGUGUAGCGGUGAAAUGCGUAGAUAUCUGGAGGAAUACCGGUGGCGAAGGCGGCAUCCUGGACCGGCAUUGACGCUGAUGAGCGAAAGCUAGGGGGAGCAAACGGG